GACGAAUGCUGGCUGCGUGCUUAACACAUGCAAGUCGAACGGUGAAAGGGAGCUUGCUCCCUGGAUCAGUGGCGAACGGGUGAGUAACACGUGGGCAACCUGCCCCUCACUCUGGGAUAACUCCGGGAAACCGGGGCUAAUACCGGAUACGACCUGGUGCGACAUCGCACCGGGUGGAAAGAACUUCGGUGAGGGAUGGGCCCGCGGCCUAUCAGCUUGUUGGUGGGGUAACGGCCCACCAAGGCGACGACGGGUAGCCGGCCUGAGAGGGCGACCGGCCACACUGGGACUGAGACACGGCCCAGACUCCUACGGGAGGCAGCAGUGGGGAAUAUUGCGCAAUGGGCGAAAGCCUGACGCAGCGACGCAGCGUGAGGGACGAAGGCCUUCGGGUUGUAAACCUCUUUCAGCGGGGACGAAGCGAAAGUGACGGUACCCGCAGAAGAAGCACCGGCUAACUUCGUGCCAGCCGCCGCUGUAACAC
rnacentral:rRNA from 1 species